AUUGAACGCUGGCGGCAUGCUUUACACAUGCAAGUCGAACGGUAACAGGCCGCAAGGUGCUGACGAGUGGCGAACGGGUGAGUAAUGCAUCGGAACGUGCCCAGUCGUGGGGGAUAACGCAGCGAAAGCUGCGCUAAUACCGCAUACGAUCUAUGGAUGAAAGCGGGGGACCGUAAGGCCUCGCGCGAUUGGAGCGGCCGAUGUCAGAUUAGGUAGUUGGUGGGGUAAAGGCUCACCAAGCCAACGAUCUGUAGCUGGUCUGAGAGGACGACCAGCCACACUGGGACUGGGACACGGCCCAGACUCCUACGGGAGGCAGCAGUGGGGGAUUUUGGACAAUGGGCGCAAGCCUGAUCCAGCAAUGCCGCGUGCAGGAAGAAGGCCUUCGGGUUGUAAACUGCUUUUGUACGGUACGAAAAGGCUCUGGAUAAUACCUGGGGCUCAUGACGGUACCGUAAGAAUAAGCACCGGCUAACUACGUGCCAGCCGCCGCGGUAACAC
rnacentral:rRNA from 1 species